rnacentral:rRNA from 1 species
UACGUAGGGUGCGAGCGUUGUCCGGAAUUAUUGGGCGUAAAGAGCUUGUAGGCGGUUUGUCGCGUCUGCUGUGAAAUUUCGGGGCUCAACCCCGAACUUGCAGUGGGUACGGGCAGACUAGAGUGUGGUAGGGGAGACUGGAAUUCCUGGUGUAGCGGUGAGAUGCGCAGAUAUCAGGAGGAACACCGAUGGCGAAGGCAGGUCUCUGGGCACUACUGACGCUGAGAAGCGAAAGCAUGGGGAGCGAACAGG